AUUGAACGCUGGCGGCAGGCCUAACACAUGCAAGUCGAACGGUAACAGGAAGAAGCUUGCUUCUUUGCUGACGAGUGGCGGACGGGUGAGUAAUGUCUGGGAAACUGCCUGAUGGAGGGGGAUAACUACUGGAAACGGUAGCUAAUACCGCAUAAUGUCGCAAGACCAAAGAGGGGGACCUUCGGGCCUCUUGCCAUCGGAUGUGCCCAGAUGGGAUUAGCUAGUAGGUGGGGUAACGGCUCACCUAGGCGACGAUCCCUAGCUGGUCUGAGAGGAUGACCAGCCACACUGGAACUGAGACACGGUCCAGACUCCUACGGGAGGCAGCAGUGGGGAAUAUUGCACAAUGGGCGCAAGCCUGAUGCAGCUACGCCGCGUGUAUGAAGAAGGCCUUCGGGUUGUAAAGUACUUUCAGCGGGGAGGAAGGGAGUAAAGUUAAUACCUUUGCUCAUUGACGUUACCCGCAGAAGAAGCACCGGCUAACUCCGUG
rnacentral:rRNA from 1 species